UCCGAUACCGAUACGGGAGGGGAGGUGCGACCGUGGGAGACUUCGCCCCUGACCUAGAGCCGUGCCACUGCCUCCAGAUCGGGAGCGCAGCCGCUGCUCGUUGCCCCCGGCGUCGCUGCUCUUCUCCCCCGCCCCGGCGCCACCGCUCUUCUACCCCGCCCUCAGCGCUGCCGCUCGUCACGCGGUCUCCUGGGGCGCCCCUCAUCGCAACUCGCCCAAGAGGCCAGGAGGAAGGAGCCCAUGAUCCCCACCGAGCCACUGGAGCAGACACGACGCUACCUUUCCUCCAUGACUCCGUCCAAUAGUCCAUCGACGGACCAGUUUUAGCAGUUGCUGCCGGUCGCCGUCUUCACCCUCAACUCCUCAUGUCCCCGUUGGAAGCUACCUUCAGUGGGAUGAGCUUCAUCGUCUGUUCAACAUGAACGGAUGAAGCAAAGAGAAAUUGAUGUACUGGCACAGUUACAACAUUUGAAGCUUGUCACAAUAUUUUGGAGCUCGUCUAUUAUUUAUGACAUUUAUGCUAAUUUGCAUUUAAGAUUGUUAAAUUGGUAGCUCACAUUUCAAGAUUAUGUGCUUGCUAUGUGCCCAAAUUUGAAUUGCAUCACUAGCUUAUAUAGCAGCCUAGAAGCAUUCUUUUUGUUUCCAGUCAAAUAGAAGCUGACAGUGAUUAAUUAUGUAUUUGUGUGAUCAUGUAUUUCCUCGCUGCAUUUGUAACCCAAUAAUAAACCCUGGAUGACGGUCAUGUAUUAAUCAUGUAUUUGUGUUAGGUCAUGAUACGUGAUACGAAUUAUUUUCGUUGUGACA